rnacentral:rRNA from 1 species
UGAGGAAUAUUGCACAAUGGGCGCAAGCCUGAUGCAGCAACGCCGCGUGAGGGACGAAGGCCUUCGGGUCGUAAACCUCUUUUCUGGGGGACGAGUAAGGACGGUACCCCAGGAAUAAGUCUCGGCUAACUACGUGCCAGCAGCCGCGGUAAAACGUAGGAGGCGAGCGUUAUCCGGAUUUACUGGGCGUAAAGCGUACGCAGGUGGCUUCGUUAGUCGGACAUGAAAGCUCCUGGCUUAACUGGGAGAGGUUGUUCGAUACUGUGGGGCUUGAGGUUGGGAGAGGGACGUGGAAUUCCCGGUGUAGUGGUGGAAUGCGUAGAUAUCGGGAGGAACACCAGUGGCGCAAUCGGCGUCCUGGCCCACACCUGACGCUGAGGUACGAAAGCGUGGGUAGCAAACAG